CCAAUAUGUUCAGACACACAAUCACCUUUCUGGUGGUUUUGUUUAGAUUACAGGUCAAAGGUCAAGUUGAGGGUUCAGAUGUGACCCAGGAUGGAUUGAUUUGGGCACAAGAAGGAAAAGAAGCCACAAUGAGCUGCACUCACACAAAAGGAGCUAGCUAUAAUCAAAUGUACUGGUAUAGACAGCUGCCCGGAGAAACUAUGAGACUUGUAGUUUUUACAUCAUACCUCAAAGAUGACCACGACUUUGGAGAUUUCAGCAAAGAGAAAUACUCUGCUCAACGGGCCAAAGCUGAAAGUGGAACAUUUACAGUGAAAGAUGUAACAGCUGCAGAUAAAGCCAUGUAUUUCUGUGCUGUAAGUCAACACAGUGAAUCAAACUCAUGCAAAACCUCAACAUAA